rnacentral:rRNA from 1 species
UUCGGGGUGAUUCUGGUGGAAUGAGCGGCGGACGGGUGAGUAACACGUGGGCAACCUGCCUGUAAGACUGGGAUAACUUCGGGAAACCGGAGCUAAUACCGGAUAGUAUUUCCUUUCUCCUGAUUGGAAAUGGAAAGACGGUUUCGGCUGUCACUUACAGAUGGGCCCGCGGUGCAUUAGCUAGUUGGUGGGGUAAUGGCCCACCAAGGCGACGAUGCAUAGCCGACCUGAGAGGGUGAUCGGCCACACUGGGACUGAGACACGGCCCAGACUCCUACGGGAGGCAGCAGUAGGGAAUCUUCCGCAAUGGACGAAAGUCUGACGGAGCAACGCCGCGUGAGCGAUGAAGGCCUUCGGGUCGUAAAGCUCUGUUGUUAGGGAAGAACAAGUACGAGAGUAACUGCUCGUACCUUGACGGUACCUAACCAGAAAGCCCCGGCUAACUACGUGCCAGCAGCCGCGGUAAUACGUAGGGGGCAAGCGUUGUCCGGAAUUAUUGGGCGUAAAGGGCUCGUAGGCGGUUUCUUAAGUCUGAUGUGAAAGCCCACAGCUCAACUGUGGAGGGUCAUUGGAAACUGGGGAACUUGAGUGCAGAAGAGGAGAGUGGAAUUCCACGUGUAGCGGUGAAAUGCGUAGAUAUGUGGAGGAACACCAGUGGCGAAGGCGACUCUCUGGUCUGUAACUGACGCUGAGGAGCGAAAGCGUGGGGAGCAAACAGGAUUAGAUACCCUGGUAGUCCACGCCGUAAACGAUGAGUGCUAGGUGUUAGGGGGUUUCCGCCCCUUAGUGCUGAAGUUAACGCAUUAAGCACUCCGCCUGGGGAGUACGGCCGCAAGGCUGAAACUCAAAA